UUACAUAAACUUCAUAUUAGAAAUAGUUUAGGAAUUCAGCUACUAUACUCUUAUAAUAAGUACAAUCGCAUUCGUACUUAUAAGUCGUUUUUGAUGAUAGAGUUUCCGAAUCAACGAUUCAUACCGUUAAAUUUUUUAGAGCAUUUGAAACUUGUAAAAAUUAAAUUUUAUAAAUUUUUGACAUCAUUUAACUUACAAUUAAAAAAUCUCAAAAUUGAUUAUUUUUAACGGCCGAUAUGAGAUAUUUGUUAGUUUAACGGUGUAAAAGAAUAGAAAUCGGAUGAAUUUUUGAUAGCAAAUUUUAUUUACUAUCUAAAUAAAGAUUAAUAGUUGCGAUCUUGAAUUGAAGUAUUCGAUUUUCUAUUUUUAAGAAAUUAUUCGAUUUUGACCAUUCAUUUUAUAUCCGCUUAAUAAACUUUAUAAUAAUUUUAAAAAAAUUACGAAAUUUAUUUUCUCGAAGUCUUAGAUGCUUUAGAUUUAAUGAUAUGCAUCAUCAAUUCGGAAACUGCAUAAUCGAAAAUAACUUAUGAGUAGAAAAGAUUCUAUACUUAUAAGAGUAGUAGAGUAGUUUUCCUUAUAGUUUAGAUAUAGUCUUAACAUUAUUAUUUAUC
rnacentral:lncRNA from 1 species